AGGAAAUCUAGCGCUUUGAAUUACGGAUCAGGAUUAUAAUAAUUGAAUAAAAAAUAAAUUUAAAAUAUAUAUAAUAAAAAUACCAAAUAUAUGUGAUGAUUUGACAUAAUUAAUCAACUUACAUCACGAAAACUAUCAAAUUGUUAUAUUUAAAGUAAUUAUAUAUAAACAUUUAAAUAUAUGAGUAACUUUAAAAAUAUAUUAUAAUUAUGUAAAAUAUAUAUAAACAUGAAAAUUAGUAUCCGCACGGUUGUGCGGGUCCAAAUCUAGUCAAAUCUUAAAGCAUAACAAUUAAAUGUGGUUUUAAUGUGACAAACCGACAAUGUGAAAUUUAAAAGGAGUUUCAGAACUAAUAAAGAAAAAGAACGGAGAACAUCUAGAGUAUGAAAUUAAAAACAACUUGUGGCUGAGACAAGUAAAAAGCUUAAUCUAUUUUAUCAUUUGAUUUAUACUCUCAAAAUCUACAACAAAAAAUAAAAUAAAAAGUGAUGGUUAAGUACCAAAGGUAAUAUCAUAAAAUUUUAGAAAAAUUGAAUAAAUUGUUGUGUGUACUAAUAUAUAUAUCAUAUGACAUAUAUAUGAUACAUAUGUCUUCGGUUAAAUUCGGAUCCAUGUUCUGUUUGUGAAUUUACCCACACCUAACCGAAAGUUAUUGAAUAUAUGACAAAUGUAGAGUGUUGAAAUAUUUCUAUUGAUCGGUCAUGUCAUAUAGGUCUGAGCUCUGCCGAGCUUAACCAUGCCCGGGGAACGCUUUUUGAUGACCUGAUCAAUUCGAUUAGGCACUCGUCAUCUAUUUUCAUAGUUUAACUCUUUGACAUUACGAAAAAAUCAUUGUUCAAUUUGGGAAGGAAAGAUUAGGAAAAUCCUAUUGAUUGCAUCUUUCUCCAAGGAUCCGAAACCGAACUCGAAGUUCAUUGUAAUAUGAAACUGGCCCAUUCAGGUAUUUUAAAGUUCGUUGACCAUUUUAUAUCUUAGAAGACUGUGAUUCUUCCGCACGCCCACAAAGUUUCUAUUCCCCACAAUUCUCAGACUUUUGAUUCCUUGACUCUGAAACAAAUUUUGAUUUUUUUUUGUUUCAUUAACCAUUUUACCCAUUUUGAAAGAAUUCUUUCAAAAUGAAUUGUAGAUGGAAAAUAUUUUGAAAUAAUAAAAAAUAUCUUCAAAACACAACAUAAUAGGAACUUUUAUAAAAUAAUUCAAAGCACAUGGGCACGUCUCAUUUUCUAAAGAAUAUUAACAGAGUAUAUAAAAACUAAUACUCCCUCUGUUUCAUAUUAAGUGUUGUUGUAGAAAAAAAUUUCGUUGCAAAUAAGUAUUUUUUAGCAUUUUAAUACAAAAUUUAUUUUUAUUUUUCAGUUUAUUUUUCUAUUGGUUGAAAUAUGGUUAGGUGUAUGGAUAAUGAUGUUUUUAUAUAGAAAAUAUGUAAAAUUAAAUGUUUUCUUAGUAUGUUUGCACAAAUUUAAAAUGUCACUUAGUAUGAAACAAAAGGAGUAGUUUUUAUUUUGAACUAUAGUGUUUUGCUUUCAAUAAUUUUUCUUUAAAAAAACUACUAAUAAUUUUGUGUAUAAACAUGAUUUAUUUUGAAAUUUGAACAAUAGUGUUUUGCAAUAGAAUUGAGGAAUUCCAUUUACCAAGAUUCUCUUAAUUUGCUCAAAUGUUUAGCUAGGAAGCCUAGUCGAUCUAUGUUACGUAAUUUAAUAUAUGAAAAAUUAAAAUAUUAAAAUACGUUAUUAAUUUAUCGAUAUUGAUGGUUUAUUAAAACCAAAGAAACUGCUAGCUCAGAGUCAAAGAGAAGAGGACCAUCUCCGGGCAGAACGGUCAGGUAUUCGGGCAUGCUUGUCUCCUGAAUAUUGCAACUAAUGACGUCAUUAACUUCACUAAAAACAACUCCUUCCGGUUAAUGACAACGCCACGAUCUUGCAAAGGUCAGUUGGGCCCGGCCCACGAAGGCUUUUAUUUAUUUAUUUAUUUAUUUUUCUGGUUUGCUCAACUCCUUCACUACCAACCUUCUCCUUCAUAUAUCUCACCGUUUCUCAAGUCUCUCUCUAUCUCUCUGUUUCUACUUCUCUCUCUGAAAUCAAACAGAGAGAAGAUCUCUCAUGGAUGAAAAAGUGAGACAUGAGUUUCUUCGAGGCAAUAUCAAAAACAUAACCAUCAUGAUGUAUAGAGACUGUCGGGUCCAUUGUGAGGAGACAUUCAGUUUCUCUUUAAAACUCCUUCAUUGAAAUAGUCCGGUGUUAUCCCUACCUGAGCUUAGUUUUUUUUUUUUUAAAUUUUUUUUUCUGUUCUAUUGAAUUAUUCUAUUUUCUUGACCUUGUAAGACAUUUUCUUGACCUUGUAAGACCCCAUCCCUUUCUAAGUAUCUCAACCUUCUAUCCUUUUAAAGACUCUCUACUAUCUCUUUUUGGUGUUGAGUAUGUGUGUAUCUCUACUCCUAGUUCAUUUGAAUCAGUUUUUCUAUCUUGUCUAUCCCUCCUGAGCUAAUGUUUGCAUCUUCUUGUUGGUCAUUGAUGUAUGGUUGAUAUAAAUUCCAAAUAAAGAGCUUAACCUUAUCUUAUUUAACUUUUGUUGGUGUUAGUUACAUUGUUGUACAGGAGGUGAAAAAUGUCUCGCUAUCAUGGGAACUGGUAAAAGGCAAUGAAUAAGGAAACUGGCAAAAAGAAUUAUGCCUUUACUCUCUAUUUUUAAGGCUUUGGACAGGAAUUUACUUUUGUUUUAUAUGUUGUGUUUGUUUGGGUCUGACUGACCCCCCAAAGGCCAAAGCCAAACCAAAGAACUCAUCUUAUUAAAUAUUCCCUCAGAAUCAUUUAUUGCCUGUUUCUCUCACUCGUGACUA